rnacentral:rRNA from 1 species
GCUCGACCGGGGAGGGUCAUUGGAAACUGGGGAACUUGAGUGCAGAAGAGGAGAGUGGAAUUCCACGUGUAGCGGUGAAAUGCGUAGAGAUGUGGAGGAACACCAGUGGCGAAGGCGACUCUCUGGUCUGUAACUGACGCUGAGGCGCGAAAGCGUGGGGAGCGAACAGGAUUAGAUACCCUGGUAGUCCACGCCGUAAACGAUGAGUGCUAAGUGUUAGAGGGUUUCCGCCCUUUAGUGCUGCAGCAAACGCAUUAAGCACUCCGCCUGGGGAGUACGGUCGCAAGACUGAAACUCAAAGGAAUUGACGGGGGCCCGCACAAGCGGUGGAGCAUGUGGUUUAAUUCGAAGCAACGCGAAGAACCUUACCAGGUCUUGACAUCCUCUGACAACCCUAGAGAUAGGGCUUCCCCUUCGGGGGCAGAGUGACAGGUGGUGCAUGGUUGUCGUCAGCUCGUGUCGUGAGAUGUUAGGUUAAGUCCCGCAACGAGCGCAACCCUUGAUCUUAGUUGCCAGCAUUCAGUUGGGCACUCUAAGGUGACUGCCGGUGACAAACCGGAGGAAGGUGGGGAUGACGUCAAAUCAUCAUGCCCCUUAUGACCUGGGCUACACACGUGCUACAAUGGGCAGAACAAAG